rnacentral:rRNA from 1 species
AGUGGCGAACGGGUGAGUAACACGUAGGAAUCUACCCUUAAGACGGGGACAACCCAGGGAAACUUGGGCUAAUACCGGAUGAGAGUGCGAGAGAUUGCAUUUAAAAGGAUGGCGAAAGUUGUCGCUUAGGGAUGAGCCUGCGGUCUAUUAGUUAGUUGGUGAGGUAAGAGCUCACCAAGGCGAUGAUAGAUAGGCGGCCUUAACGGGUGGUCGCCCACACUGGGAUUGAGAUACGGCCCAGACUCCUACGGGAGGCAGCAGUCGAGAAUAGUCUACAAUGGCCGGAAGGUGAUAGUGCGACGCCGCGUGAACGAGGGAGCCCUUCGGGGUGUAAAGUUCUUUUCUAUACGAGCAGUGCUAUAUAUAUGGAUAGUAUAUAUAGAGGAAUAGUAGUAUAGGAAUAAGCAACGGCUAACUCCGUGCCAGCAGCCGCGGUAACACGGGGGUUGCGAGCGUUGUCCGGAAUUACUAGGCGUAAAGGGCAGGUAGGCGGAUCUACGAGUUUUUUGUUAAAGGCUACGGCUCAACUGUAGUAGAGCAGGAGAUACUGUAGGUCUGGAAUGCGGUAGGGGAAGACAGAAUUCCUGGUGUAGCGGUGGAAUGCGCAGAGAUCAGGAGGAAUACCGAAGGCGAAGGCAGUCUUCUAGGCCGUAAUUGACGCUUAACUGCGAAGGUGUGGGGGAUCAAACAGGAUUAGAUACCCUGGUAGUCCACACAGUAAACGAUAAUCACUAGAUGUCGGGUUCUAGAUGGAUUCGGUGUCGGAGCUAACGCGAUAAGUGAUUCGCCUGGGGAGUACGAUCGCAAGGUUGAAACUCAAAGGAAUUGACGGGGGCCCGCACAGGCGGUGGAGCAUGUGGUUUAAUUCGAGGCAACGCGAAGAACCUUACCCGGUUUUGACAUCCACGGGAGGCUUCAGAGAUGGAGCUGUGCCGGCGUAAGCUGGAGCCGUGAGACAGGUGCUGCAUGGCUGUCGUCAGCUCGUGUCGUGAGAUGUUGGGUUAAGUCCCGCAACGAGCGCAACCCUUGCCUUCAGUUACCAUCAUUAAGUUGGGGACUCUGGAGGGACCGCUGCGGUAACAACGCAGAGGAAGAUGGGGACGACGUCAAGUCAUCAUGGUCCUUAUGGCCGGGGCUACACACGUGCUACAAUGGCAGUUACAGAGGGAUGCGAUUCAGUAAUGAGGAGCGAAACUCAGAAAAGUGCCGCAGUUCGGAUUGAGGUCUGCAACUCGGCCUCAUGAAGUCGGAAUCGCUAGUAAUCGCGCAACAUCAUGGCGCGGUGAAUACGUUCCCGGGC